UACGUAGGGUGCAAGCGUUGUCCGGAAUUAUUGGGCGUAAAGAGCUCGUAGGCGGUCUGUCGCGUCUGCUGUGAGAACUCGGGGCUUAACCCCGGGCCUGCAGUGGGUACGGGCAGACUAGAGUGCGGUAGGGGAGUCUGGAAUUCCUGGUGUAGCGGUGAAAUGCGCAGAUAUCAGGAGGAACAUCAGUGGCGAAGGCGGCCUGCUGGGCUGUUGCUGACGCUGAGGCGCGACAGCGUGGGGAGCAAACAGG
rnacentral:rRNA from 1 species